rnacentral:rRNA from 1 species
AUUGAACGCUGGCGGCAGGCCUAACACAUGCAAGUCGAGCGGAUGAAGGGAGCUUGCUCCUGGAUUCAGCGGCGGACGGGUGAGUAAUGCCUAGGAAUCUGCCUGGUAGUGGGGGAUAACGUCCGGAAACGGGCGCUAAUACCGCAUACGUCCUGAGGGAGAAAGUGGGGGAUCUUCGGACCUCACGCUAUCAGAUGAGCCUAGGUCGGAUUAGCUAGUUGGUGGGGUAAAGGCCUACCAAGGCGACGAUCCGUAACUGGUCUGAGAGGAUGAUCAGUCACACUGGAACUGAGACACGGUCCAGACUCCUACGGGAGGCAGCAGUGGGGAAUAUUGGACAAUGGGCGAAAGCCUGAUCCAGCCAUGCCGCGUGUGUGAAGAAGGUCUUCGGAUUGUAAAGCACGUUAAGUUGGGAGGAAGGGCAGUAAGUUAAUACCUUGCUGUUUUGACGUUACCAACAGAAUAAGCACCGGCUAACUUCGGG